rnacentral:misc_RNA from 1 species
GAUGAAGAACGCAGUGAAACGCGAAAGGUAAUGCGAAUUGCAGAAUCAGUGAGUCAUCGAAUCUUUGAACGCACAUUGCGCCCGCCAGCACUCUGGCGGGCAUGCCUGUCCGAGCGUCGCCCCCACCCGUCAGCACCGCUGUGUUGGGGCCCGGCGGCAACGCCGGCCCCGAAAGUCAGAGGCAGGGGCCCCCCCGCGCGCCGAGCGUAGUGCCGAAACGCCGCUCCGGCCCUGGGGGGGGCUUCCCUCGCCGGCCCGCACGCAGUACCCAGACGACCUCGGAUCAGGUAGGAAUACCCGCUGAACUUAAGCAUAUCAAUAAGCGGAGGA